rnacentral:sRNA from 1 species
AUAACUGAGCCUUGGAGACAAAAUUCCUUGAUUUACCUUUACAGCAGGUACAGCACAGGCAGUGGCUGUUAAAAUUUCUCCACACUGUCACAACCUUCACCUACAAUCUGCUAUAAAGAUUGCAGGGCAGUAGUUCCAUUUUUAUAUGUCCAUUUACUUUUUGGCCUCU